GACGUAGGGCGCGAGCGUUGUCCGGAUUUAUUGGGCGUAAAGAGCUCGUAGGCGGCUUGUCGCGUCGGCCGUGAAAACCUGCAGCUUAACUGUGGGCGUGCGGUCGAUACGGGCAUCACUGGAGUUCGGCAGGGGAGACUGGAAUUCCUGGUGUAGCGGUGAAAUGCGCAGAUAUCAGGAGGAACACCGGUGGCGAAGGCGGGUCUCUGGGCCGAUACUGACGCUGAUGCGCGAAAGCCAGGGGAGCAAACGGG
rnacentral:rRNA from 1 species